GACUGCUCUGGUGGCCUAGUGGUUUGAGCAUCUGCCUUGGAUGCAGGAAGUUAUAGGAUUGAACCCUAGUCGAGUCA